GACGAACGCUGGCGGCGUGCUUAACACAUGCAAGUCGAACGGAAAGGCCCUGCUUUUGUGGGGGGCUCGAGUGGCGAACGGGUGAGUAACACGUGAGUAACCUGCCCUUGACUUUGGGAUAACUUCAGGAAACUGGGGCUAAUACCGGAUAGGAGGUCCUGCUGCAUGGUGGGGGGUGGAAAGUUUCGGCGGUUGGGGAUGGACUCGCGGCUUAUCAGCUUGUUGGUGGGGUAGUGGCUUACCAAGGCUUUGACGGGUAGCCGGCCUGAGAGGGUGACCGGCCACAUUGGGACUGAGAUACGGCCCAGACUCCUACGGGAGGCAGCAGUGGGGAAUAUUGCACAAUGGGCGGAAGCCUGAUGCAGCAACGCCGCGUGCGGGAUGACGGCCUUCGGGUUGUAAACCGCUUUCGCCUGUGACGAAGCGUGAGUGACGGUAAUGGGUAAAGAAGCACCGGCUAACUACGUG
rnacentral:rRNA from 1 species